UACGUAGGUGGCAAGCGUUGUCCGGAAUUAUUGGGCGUAAAGCGCGCGCAGGCGGUCCUUUAAGUCUGAUGUGAAAGCCCACGGCUUAACCGUGGAGGGUCAUUGGAAACUGGGGGACUUGAGUGCAGAAGAGGAGAGUGGAAUUCCACGUGUAGCGGUGAAAUGCGUAGAGAUGUGGAGGAACACCAGUGGCGAAGGCGACUCUCUGGUCUGUAACUGACGCUGAGGCGCGAAAGCGUGGGGAGCAAACAGG
rnacentral:rRNA from 1 species